rnacentral:rRNA from 1 species
UAGUGGCGAACGGGUGAGUAACACGUGAGUAACCUGCCCUUAACUCUGGGAUAAGCCUGGGAAACUGGGUCUAAUACCGGAUAUGACUCCUCAUCGCAUGGUGGGGGGUGGAAAGCUUUUUGUGGUUUUGGAUGGACUCGCGGCCUAUCAGCUUGUUGGUGAGGUAAUGGCUUACCAAGGCGACGACGGGUAGCCGGCCUGAGAGGGUGACCGGCCACACUGGGACUGAGACACGGCCCAGACUCCUACGGGAGGCAGCAGUGGGGAAUAUUGCACAAUGGGCGCAAGCCUGAUGCAGCGACGCCGCGUGAGGGAUGACGGCCUUCGGGUUGUAAACCUCUUUCAGUAGGGAAGAAGCGAAAGUGACGGUACCUGCAGAAGAAGCGCCGGCUAACUACGUGCCAGCAGCCGCGGUAAUACGUAGGGCGCAAGCGUUAUCCGGAAUUAUUGGGCGUAAAGAGCUCGUAGGCGGUUUGUCGCGUCUGCCGUGAAAGUCCGGGGCUCAACUCCGGAUCUGCGGUGGGUACGGGCAGACUAGAGUGAUGUAGGGGAGACUGGAAUUCCUGGUGUAGCGGUGAAAUGCGCAGAUAUCAGGAGGAACACCGAUGGCGAAGGCAGGUCUCUGGGCAUUAACUGACGCUGAGGAGCGAAAGCAUGGGGAGCGAACAGGAUUAGAUACCCUGGUAGUCCAUGCCGUAAACGUUGGGCACUAGGUGUGGGGGACAUUCCACGUUUUCCGCGCCGUAGC